GACGAACGCUGGCGGCGUGCUUAACACAUGCAAGUCGAGCGGUAAGGCUCCUUCGGGGGUACACGAGCGGCGAACGGGUGAGUAACACGUGAGUAAUCUGCCCUUCACUCGCGGAUAAGCCUCGGAAACGGGGUCUAAUACGUGGUGUACACGGCUUCCUGCAUGGGGGGUUGUGGAAAGUGUUUAGCGGUGGGGGAUGUGCUCGCGGCCUAUCAGCUUGUUGGUGGGGUAAUGGCCUACCAAGGCUUCGACGGGUAGCCGGCCUGAGAGGGUGACCGGCCACACUGGGACUGAGACACGGCCCAGACUCCUACGGGAGGCAGCAGUGGGGAAUAUUGGACAAUGGGCGGAAGCCUGAUCCAGCAACGCCGCGUGAGGGAUGACGGCCUUCGGGUUGUAAACCUCUUUCAGUGUCGACGAAGCCUCAAUUUUUGGUUGGGGUGACGGUAGGCGCAGAAGAAGCACCGGCCAACUACGUGCCAGCAGCCGCAGUAAUAC
rnacentral:rRNA from 1 species